rnacentral:rRNA from 1 species
UACGGAGGGUGCGAGCGUUAAUCGGAAUUACUGGGCGUAAAGCGCGCGUAGGCGGUGGCGUGAGUCGGAUGUGAAAGCCCCGGGCUCAACCUGGGAAUGGCAUUCGAUACCGCGUCGCUAGAGUUUGGGAGAGGGAAGGGGAAUUCCGGGUGUAGCGGUGAAAUGCGUAGAUAUCCGGAGGAACACCAGUGGCGAAGGCGCCUUCCUGGCCUAAGACUGACGCUGAGGUGCGAAAGCGUGGGGAGCAAACAGG